UAGGGAAUCUUCGGCAAUGGACGGAAGUCUGACCGAGCAACGCCGCGUGAGUGAAGAAGGUUUUCGGAUCGUAAAGCUCUGUUGUUAGAGAAGAACGUUGGUAGGAGUGGAAAAUCUACCAAGUGACGGUAACUAACCAGAAAGGGACGGCUAACUACGUGCCAGCAGCCGCGGUAAUACGUAGGUCCCGAGCGUUGUACGGAUUUAUUGGGCAUAAAGCGAGCGCAGGCGGUUCUUUAAGUCUGAAGUUAAAGGCAGUGGCUUAACCAUUGUACGCUUUGGAAACUGGAGGACUUGAGUGGAGAAGGGGAGAGUGGAAUUCCAUGUGUAGCGGUGAAAUGCGUGGAUAUAAGGAGGAACACCGAUGGCGAAAGCGGCUCUCAGGUCUGUAACUGACGCUGAGGCUCGAAAGCGUGGGGAGCAAACAGG
rnacentral:rRNA from 1 species